GUAAUUUCACCAGAGAUAAUACAUGUGAGCGAGGGAAAGGGCAAGAUGUGUGAUACCUCAUUUGAAAGUAUUGCUUGUGAAAAUGAAAUUGAAGUUUGCAAGCUAAACACAAGUCAUCAGUGUGAUGAAACAAUUAAAAAAAAACCAAUGCAGUUUUGGGCACCACUGACAAAUAUCUAGUGUUCAGAUCAAGGGCCACUAAUAUCUGUAUCCAUGGAUACAGAAAUCCAUGGAUGCUUAAGUCUAUGGAUGUAAUAAAAUGGUUUCCCUUAUAUAAAAUGCUCAAAUCAAGGUUUUCAAGUCAGAGAUGGUGAAAGGCACAGUUCAUAUUUUGGCAAAUUACUUUGUGUGUGUGCAUGUGCCUUCAGGUUCUAUCAACCUAUGGGGACUCCAGAAAUUUCAUAGGUUCUUCUUGGUCUCCCAUCUAGGUACUAAACAGGGUUGGCCCUUCUUAGAUGGGAUAUGGUGCAUUUAGGUUAUUCCUUCGAACGGAAUGGAAGGUAUCAC
rnacentral:lncRNA from 11 species